CCUUCGAUAGCUCAGUUGGUAGAGCGGAGGACUGUAGGAAUCCUUAGGUCGCUGGUUCAAUUCCGGCUCGAAGGA